rnacentral:lncRNA from 1 species
UCCGCUUUGCAUCAGCUAUGGGCUUGGAGCAGAAGCUGAGAUCUCAGUGCUGGCUGCUCUCCAGGGAAGUUCUGGAGGGAGCAGAGACUUCAGGGAACUCUGAUGAGAACCUUGAUUCCUCUUAACUCCAGCUGAACCCAAGUCUCCAGGACCAAUGACAAGCAGAAAACUCACAACUGUCUGAAAAACACAGGGCUCAAGCCAACAGCUGCAAAAGCCUGAAGUUGAUGAGUGUGGAAUUUACAUGCUUACACUGGAAAACAGGCUCUGCUGCAUUUUCUUUGACUGGAAGCAGGAAGUGUGGGAAAAGUCAAGCGCAUUGACUGAAUCCAGUUUGGAGCCAGGGGUCAGCAGAAGGAGAUUGUUGGGUGGCAGUAACUGUGGACUGCCUGUUAACAUCCGCUAAUGUUUGGGGUUCUCUCUGAGAUUUUUGAUGGGAAAAACCUGAAGUUAACCAGGCAGGGGAUCUCAGUGCAUCAAACGGACACAGGGCUGAAUGGGAAAUGCCUAGUUUUCUUUGCUCCCUUCCCCAAGAGGGCAGAAAUGAAGGAAAGUUCUGAGGAGAGUUGAAUUAUUAUGCUGCAAGAAGUUUUCUGAAGAUCUGCGUUAUGAAGAUGGAUCCCAUUAGUAAAUUUGACAGCUAUUCCACUCCUCCUUGCAUUUUAGCAUCUCAAGCCAAAAUAUAAAUGAAAGGAAUACACUAUAUCUCAAAGGAAGCUAUCAAUCCUUACCCUCCCUGAGUGGGCACAAUUUGGGGGUUCUUCUACUUAGGUUGGGCUGGUUUUGCUGCUUUACCCACAUACUCUCAUCCAACACUCUUUGUGUCUGGUGAAGUCUGUGAGCCAUCAGACAGAGAAGUCUAUAAUUUUAUCUUCCUUUGUGCGCAUCAGACCCUACGCUGCAGAGUGAGGGAAGCCUAUGUGCAA